UACGUAGGGUGCAAGCGUUGUCCGGAAUUAUUGGGCGUAAAGAGCUCGUAGGCGGUCUGUUGCGUCGGCUGUGAAAACCCGGGGCUCAACUCCGGGCCUGCAGCCGAUACGGGCAGACUAGAGUUCGGCAGGGGAGACUGGAAUUCCUGGUGUAGCGGUGAAAUGCGCAGAUAUCGGGAGGAACACCUAUGGCGAAGGCAGCUCGCUGGGACGUUACUGACACUGAGACGCGAAAGCGUGGGGAGCAAACAGG
rnacentral:rRNA from 1 species